ACUCUUAUUUAUCCAAGGAGAGGGAAAGGAAAAUUCAGGCAAUGCAUACUGCAGUCACACUGAAGGUCCUGAUCUUUCCCUUUAGAUGCAGCAGAUCUUCUGUUUCUCAGCAGACGUCAUGCCUUGCAGAAACAUCACUAUUCAUAUAGAUGACUGUAAAUUGCCGCAGGUUACCAUCUGUUUAUGACAACACAAAUCCAAUAUGUCAUAAACAUGUUCUGGCCUUUACAGUUUUCCCAGCCUGAGAGAAGUUCAGGUUAGUUGACAAAAUAUAGGACACCAACGAACAACAAGGGCAGAUGACCGUGGUGAAGAGAAAAUAAAGCUGGACAAAAGUCUUGUUGAAUGAAUCAGGAAGACUCAAGAGGAAGGAAGAACAGGAAACAGGCUGAGGAUAAGUGAGUCUGUAGAGUUUAAUGCAUUCACUCAUGGACAUGGAGACUGAAAACUAAAACCAAUUCAGGAUCUUCAGGUACAUGGUAUGGGACGCAAUGAUUAAAAGCCAGGAAGAGCCUCCUGAAAGAGCAGUGACUCAUCACCACUGAAAUCUGAAAAUGGACAGCAUGUGAGCAGAAUCAUUAUGACCAGUUGCUAUUGGUCAUUCCUGGUUUGCUCAGGCAACUUGUAUGUCCCCACUUCCCAAAACUACUUGUGAGAGUGAGUUAGAGCCUUUACUUUACAAUGUACUCUAUUUUCUUUUUAUAUUUCCCCCUCCUGACUGUUGCCAUGGAAGCUGCCACUUCAGUUCUGUUAUACUCCCUUAAACACCUGUUAAUCCUCUGACCUUUCCUGCAGGUUUGAUCCCUUGAUCACCCCCAGUGUUGGCAGUGAAAGUACAGGAAGAUGGCAAUAUUCAUUGCUGCAAGGCCUGCAUGUUCCCACUCCCACACUUCUAAUUAUUUUGUGACUUUAUAUUGCUAUGAUAUUGUCACUUAAUUUCCCAGAGACUUGCCAUGCCUCCUUGUUGGAUUAGGACAGAUUUAAACAAAUCUGUUGAAACCUGAUUCUAAUUCCACAGAGAUUUUCUCUCACUUCCUCAAAUCUUUAAGGCCUUAAUGAAUGCUUUGUGCUUGAGUAUUGAAAUGUUUUUGGCUAGUGAUUUUCAAAAC